UACGAACGCUGGCGGCUGCUUAACACAUGCAAGUCNCGCGAUGAUGCCCAGCUUGCGCUGGNGAUUAGUGGCGAACGGGUGAGUAACACGUGAGUAACCNGCCCCUGACUCUGGGAUAAGCGUUGGAAACGACGUCUAAUACUGGAUAUGACUGCCGGCCGCAUGGUCUGGUGGUGGAAAGAUUUUUUGGUUGGGGAUGGACUCGCGGCCUAUCAGCUUGUUGGUGAGGUAAUGGCUCACCAAGGCGACGACGGGUAGCCGGCCUGAGAGGGUGACCGNCCACACUGGGACUGAGACACGGCCCAGACUCCUACGGGAGGCAGCAGUGGGGAAUAUUGCACAAUGGGCGAAACUGAUGCAGCAACGCCGCGUGAGGGAUGACGGCCUUCGGGUUGUAAACCUCUUUUAGUAGGGAAGAAGCGAAAGUGACGGUACCUGCAGAAAAAGCACCGGCUAACUACGUGCCAGCAGCCGCGGUAAUACGUAGGGUGCAAGCGUUGUCCGGAAUUAUUGGGCGUAAAGAGCUCGUAGGCGGUUUGUCGCGUCUGCUGUGAAAUCCCGAG
rnacentral:rRNA from 1 species